rnacentral:tRNA from 1 species
GGGCCUUUAGUCGAGUGGUAAGACGCCUCGUUCGCAACGAGGAGACCGCGGGUUCGAUUCCCGCAGGGUCCA